rnacentral:rRNA from 1 species
AACCUUAGCAAUGUGCGAAAGCACGACUGGGUUAGUCCGAGUGAUUCCUGCUAAAGGAAUCUUUUGCCGGUCCUAAGAGCACCGGUGAAUAAGGGGUGGGCAAGUCUGGUGUCAGCCGCCGCGGUAAUACCAGCACCUCGAGUGAUCAGGACGUUUAUUGGGCCUAAAGCAUCCGUAGCUGGCUUUGCAAGUCUCCGGUUAAAUCAACCUGCUUAACAGAUUGGCCGCUGGAGAUACUACAAAGCUAGGGAGUGGGAUAGGCAGACGGUAUUCGGGGGUAGGGGUAAAAUCCUCUGAUCCUCUGAGGACCACCAGUGGCGAAGGCGGUCUGCCAGAACACGUUCGACAGUGAGGGAUGAAAGCUGGGGGAGCAAACCGGAUUAGAUACCCGGGUAGUCCCAGCUGUAAACGAUGCAGACUCGGUGAAGCGUUGGCUUCAUGCCAACGCUGUGCCGCAGGGAAGCCGUUAAGUCUGCCGCCUGGGAAGUACGGUCGCAAGAUUGAAACUUAA